rnacentral:precursor_RNA from 2 species
CUACAUAUCAUGAGCACAAAAACUCUUCUGCUUCCCAUGUAUGUAGCUGUAGCUUCUUCAGUAUACUUUGCUCUUGUUUCAGUAGUGUGCAUCUCUCUAGUUAUUGCUAGCUAGUACUCCAAAGAGUGAGAUGAAAUUAGUGGAUGAAUUAUAAGUGAGAUGAUGAUGAUGGUGCUAGUGUGAAUGAGUGAAGCUGCCAGCAUGAUCUAGCUCUGAUUAAUCGGCACUGUUGGCGUACAGUCGAUUGACUAAUCGUCAGAUCUGUGUGUGUAAAUCACUGUUAGAUCAUGCAUGACAGCCUCAUUUCUUCACACUGUUGGGCAUGUGUUAAACUUGAUUAGCUGUGCACAGUACUGCAAGAGGGUACAGACAGGAUAAGGUGAUGCAUCUAUGAUUUAUCUCUGCAUGUUUGAUGUUUUGAUUACUUUGUACAAGCUUGAUUAGUUGUACAAUACUGCAGAAAGAGUACAAGGUACAGGGUAAGUUGUUGCAAACUUUGCAUCUACCUCUACGAGCUGCUGUUAUUUUUUUUCUAUCUAGUAUAAGUACGUAGCUAGUGAAGUAGUAUCAAUCAAUGUAUAUGGUUAUAAUAGUUAAUUAGUUUAUGCUGGAUUUCUCA